UGUACAGAAGUUGUCAGGAAAAUCCAUUUCAGGAGGCUUCACGUUCCCUUUCUCCAACUGCUGGAGUCGCUGUGGUCACGUUGGAUGCUGAGACCCCUCCCUUCAUCUGCCUUUGAAGUAAGGCUGGCGCCCAAUGUGGGGCUUGAACCCACUACCCUGAGAUUAAGAGUCUCAUGCUUUACUGACUGAGCUGGAAGAUAGAAGCGGCAGUGAAGGUGAGAAGCAGAAAGAGAAGAGUUACUCAAUGUGGCCACAUUGGGAAGAGGUUCAGUGUGACACCAUUCCCCUCAAUACGCACCCUGUCUGACUUCUGGGCCUUGGCAUGAGGGUAGGGUGUAAAUAGGAAGCAUGAGACAUUCAGAACUAAGCAGUCCUGAUAAGAACUGAGGAAUGUGGAGGAAGAGACCACUCUCUUACUAGGAAACAAGCCAGGCUGGCCCACUGGAAAAGAACGACUCAGAAGGUUCAGCUAAGAAACCCACUGAGGAUGGCGAACACCUUGGACAAUUCUCUUGCCACCGAGCCAUUAAGAAUUCCUUCCAAGCUGCCUGGUGUGAACCUUCGGCCGAAUCCAGUUCGGCUCAUGGACAACUGUGUCAGCCCUUCCCCGUGGCCAGGCUGUGGGAGCUGGGACAGGGAAGGCAGGGAGGUCGGACGUGCACGCAGUCCCCAAAUCCGUAUGGUAAGAAGAGUUCAAGGAACAGUCAGAACACCGAGAGCAAUGCCAGACCCUGCUCCCAGGUUUCUACGCCUUCUGUAGGCGCCAAUUUAAGCAUGAAGAUAAGCCUGCCGCUUAGUGUCGUCUACCUGUGAGCUGUUCAGAAAUGGACUCCUUGGAUCCUACCAAGUCACAAUCGGCAUUACACAGAGAAAGGGUCUGGAGAGUGUUGUGCUACCCAACAUCAAUUCUGUCCAUUACUGACAAAGUCCACAGGUUUCCAAAAUGGCGCGAGGGUAAUAUUUCCCCCCGGGUGCUUAAGUGUGCAGGUAUGGAUUCCCUUGCACCUGCUUGGGCAAAACAUCUCAUACAGGCCAUCUGGGAUGCAGCUGAGGGAUCUGCUGCUGCAGCAGGUAUUGAAGGAUUAUUGGCUUUAGAGAUAGUUUAGAAAACACAUUUCCUGAUCUCUACUUGCACACACACACACACACACACACACACACACACCAAUCAUUAGUUUUCUAUUCCCCUAGCACCUUAUCCUCCUUGGAUUGUGGUGUUGGUGUGUAUUCUGAAACUAUUCUUUAAAUUUAUCAUUUACGUGUAUGCGUGUGUUCUGAGAGGGACAUGUGCCACAGCAUGUGUGUGGAGGUCAUGCUUUGGGCAGUCAGUUCUCUCCUUCCACGUGGGAUCCAGGAAUAGAAAUUCAGGUAGUCGGUUUUUGCACAGUGCAUUAGUUUGGUUCUGUGGCUGGGGUAAAAAUCAAACCCAUAAUCAAAAGCAACGUUAGGAAAAUAGCAUUUGUCUUUACCUUUCAGACUGCAGUCCAUCAUGGGGAAAACAAGGGCGAGAUCUCCAGGCAGGACCCUGGAGGCAGGAAUUGAGGCAGAGACCAUAGAGGAUCACUGCUUUCUCAAUACACCUCAUGGUCUGCUCAGUUUGCUUUCUCAGUACACCCAGGACCACCUGCCCCGGGAUGGCACCAUCCACAGUGGACUGGGCCUUCUCACGGGCUUGCCAACAGUCCCAUGGAGGCAAUUGCUCAGCUGAGGUCCCCUCUUCCCAGGUCCCCUCUUCCCAGGUGCGUCGAGUCGACACAAACUAACCAACGCACACAGCACUUCCUUUGACCUACUGAGCCAUUGUGUCAAACCAGAUUAUUAUUGGUUUUGGAGGCGUGUUUUUACAAAUUCAUGAUCCUCCUGUCUCUGCUUCUCUCCUGCUGGAACUAGAGGUGUGUACCACCCUAGCAAGCUGUAAAUUUAUGUCUUCACACAUUGGCUUUCUUUAGAAGCCUGUGAGCUCUUCCCUUCUGAUUUGCAUGAGGUGCCAGGAUCUCACAGUGCCUUCAGUCCAAGCACACCCCUGGGAGACAACGACCACCGUAUGGCCAGUGGGUGUGAGCCCACGGGGGCAGACCGAAGGCCAGUACAGAUUAAAAACAAAAGUAGCCUCUUCGUUUAAUGAGCAGUUUCUCGGUAAGAGUUUAUGCUGAGUAUGCAAAUGGAGGCCCUUUCCUGUUGCUAGUUGAAACUGAAAUGUGGCUUCAUCUUCCACCUGGACAUCUUCCUUCCCGAGACAGUCAUCGGAGCAGCGUGGGCCACCAGUGCCACCAGCUCCCUUCCCCCAGCUGUUGCCACCUUCAGCUCAGUGGCCUUGCAGCCAUCCAGGGAAGGCGUGUCUCUAUUUGACCUUCUGUGACAGCGAAUUCCUCCAGCUAACCGCAAGCUGCCUAGAGCAGUUAUUUCCUUUGAUUUUUUUUCCCCUAAAUUUUCUUUUUAACCAGUUACUCUCUUCCAGAGGAAUGACGUUAGAGGAGAAAUCAAUACAGCUGUUUUAUUGUUGGGGGCGAGGGACAAAAGUCAUUUAAAAAACACUUGCAGAAUCUCUGGUUCAAUUUUAAUUUUCCUUUUCUUCCCCCUGAAUGUAGAAAUAUGUGUCCAUUUCACAAGUUUUCUAAAAUGCAGAAACCAGGACCCGUAAGCAAUAUGCCUCUCACCACGGAGGGCGUUGUGGUUACUAGGGAAGAUUUAGUGGCCGUUAGUAUAAGGUCACAUUAAUCAUGUUAGCGUUUUGGCAUUAGUCGACGCUUUUGUCGUCUAAGCCACUAGUAGCCAGAAUCAAAUAAAGGUCCCUGCCAUGUUCUGAUGCCUGAAUCAUGACUGCCUCCCAGGCAGAAAAAGGAAGUGAGCAACAGGAAGAAGCCAAGACAGCUGCUGAAGCUCCACCAGCAAGAGAGAAAAAGUCAAGAAAAUUCCAUAA